GACGAACGCUGGCGGCGUGCUUAACACAUGCAAGUCGAACGGAAAGGCCCUGCUUUUGUGGCGUGCUCGAGUGGCGAACGGGUGAGUAACACGUGAGUAACCUGCCCCUGACUUUGGGAUAACUUCAGGAAACUGGGGCUCAUACCGGAUAGGAGCUCCUGCUGCAUGUUGGGGGUUGGAAAGUUUCGGCGGUUGGGGAUGGACUCGCGGCUUAUCAGCUUGUUGGUGGGGUAGUGGCUUACCAAGGCUUUGACGGGUAGCCGGCCUGAGAGGGUGACCGGCCACAUUGGGACUGAGAUACGGCCCAGACUCCUACGGGAGGCAGCAGUGGGGAAUAUUGCACAAUGGGCGGAAGCCUGAUGCAGCAACGCCGCGUGCGGGAUGACGGCCUUCGGGUUGUAAACCGCUUUCGCCUGUGACGAAGCGUGAGUGACGGUAAUGAGUAAAGAAGCACCGGCUAACUACGUG
rnacentral:rRNA from 1 species